rnacentral:rRNA from 1 species
AUUGAACGCUGGCGGCAGGCCUAACACAUGCAAGUCGAGCGGAUGAAGGGAGCUUGCUCCUGGAUUCAGCGGCGGACGGGUGAGUAAUGCAUAGGAAUCUGCCUGGUAGUGGGGGAUAACGUCCGGAAACGGGCGCUAAUACCGCAUACGUCCUGAGGGAGAAAGUGGGGGAUCUUCGGACCUUACGCUAUCAGAUGAGCCUAGGUCGGAUUAGCUAGUUGGUGGGGUAAAGGCCUACCAAGGCGACGAUCCGUAACUGGUCUGAGAGGAUGAUCAGUCACACUAGAGCGGAGACACGGUCCAGACUCCUACGGGAGGCAGCAGUGGGGAAUAUUGGACAAUGGGCGAAAGCCUGAUCCAGCCAUGCCGCGUGUGUGAAGAAGGUCUUCGGAUUGUAAAGCACUUUAAGUUGUGAGGAAGGGCAGUAAGUUAAUACCUUGCUGUUUUGACGUUACCAACAGAAUAAGCACCGGCUAACUUCGUG